rnacentral:rRNA from 1 species
UGAGACAGUUCGGUCCCUAUCCGGCGUGGGCGUAGGAUAUUUGAGAGGAGCUGUCCUUAGUACGAGAGGACCGGGAUGGACCGGCCGCUGGUGUACCUGUUGCACUACCAAGUGCAUGGCAGGGUAGCCAAGCCGGGAAGGGAUAAACGCUGAAGGCAUCUAAGCGUGAAGCCCCCCUCAAGAUGAGAUAUCCCAUACGGAAGUAGUAAGACCCCUUGAAGAUGACGAGGUAGAUAGGGCAGAGGUGGAAGUGCAGUAAUGCAUGGAGCUGACUGUUACUAAUAGGUCGAGGGCAUAACCAAG